ACGAGUGGCGGACGGGUGAGUAAUGUCUGGGAAACUGCCUGAUGGAGGGGGAUAACUACUGGAAACGGUAGCUAAUACCGCAUAAGCGCACAGUACCGCAUGGUACGGUGUGAAAAACUCCGGUGGUAUGAGAUGGACCCGCGUCUGAUUAGGUAGUUGGUGGGGUAACGGCCUACCAAGCCGACGAUCAGUAGCCGACCUGAGAGGGUGACCGGCCACAUUGGGACUGAGACACGGCCCAA
rnacentral:rRNA from 1 species